GGGUGCAUGGUUUAGGGGUAUAACAUCUCAUUUGCAAGUUGACUUGAUUUGAGAAGGUCCGGGGUUCGAUUCCCCGUGCUUCCA